CCUAAGGUAGCGAAAUUCCUUGUCAGGUAAGUUCUGACCCGCACGAAAGGUGUAAUGUCUUUGGGCACUGUCUCAACAGGGGACUCGGUGAAAUCAAACUGCCGGUGAAAAUGCCGGCUACCCGCGAUUAGACGGAAAGACCCCAUGGAGCUUUACUGUAGGUUGAUAUUGAUAUUUGGUAUGUAAUGUACAGGAUAGGUGGGAGACUAUGAAGCUAGGACGUUAGUCUUGGUGGAGUCGACGUUGGGAUACCACCCUUUGCCUAUCGAGUAUCUAACUAGUGUAAGUGGAUUACAAAGGACAGUGUCAGUUGGGCAGUUUGACUGGGGCGGUCGCCUCCUAAAGAGUAACGGAGGCGCUCGAAGGUUCCCUCAGAAUGGUUGGAAAUCAUUCGCAGAGUGUAAACGCAGAAGGGAGCUUGACUGCAAGACAAACAAGUCGAGCAGGGACGAAAGUCGGAGUUAGUGAUCUUACGGUACCGCGUGGAAGGGCCGUGACUCAACGGAUAAAAGCUACCCUGGGGAUAACAGGCUGAUCACGCCCAAGCGUUCACAGCGACGGCGUGGUUUGGCACCUCGAUGUCGGCUCGUCGCAUCCUGGAGGUGGAUAAGCUUCCAAGGGUUGGGCUGUUCGCCCAUUAAAGCGGCACGCGAGCUGGGUUCAAAACGUCGUGAGACAGUUUGGUCCCUAUCUGUCGUGGGCGUUGGAAAUUUGAAGAGAGCUGUCCUUAGUACGAGAGGACCGGGAUGGACAUACCACUGGUGUACCAGUUAGCCUGCCAGGGCUAUAAGCUGGGUAGCUACGUAUGGAACGGAUAAACGCUGAAAGCAUCUAAGCGUGAAGCCUCCUCUAAGAUUAGAUUUCCCACAGAAAUGGUAAGACCCCUUAUAGACUAUAAGGUUGAUAGGCUAGGUGUGGAAGCGCAGUGAUGCGUGGAGCUGACUAGUACUAAUAGGUCGAGGACUUAACCUA
rnacentral:rRNA from 1 species